UGGUUCUGGCAUCGAUGAAGAACGCAGCGAAAUGCGAUAAGUAAUGUGAAUUGCAGAAUUCAGUGAAUCAUCGAAUCUUUGAACGCACAUUGCGCCCGCCAGUAUUCUGGCGGGCAUGCCUGUUCGAGCGUCAUUUCAACCCUCAAGCCUCACGGUUUGGUGUUGGGGAUCGGCCGCGACCUCCGCGGCCGUCCCUCAAAUACAGUGGCGGCCUCGCUGUAGCGUCCCUCGCGUAGUAGCUUAAACUCGCUUUGGAUCGCGGCGACGGCCACGCCGUAAAACCCCCCAAUUCUGAAUGUUGACCUCGGAUCAGGUAGGAAUACCCGCUGA
rnacentral:misc_RNA from 1 species